rnacentral:rRNA from 1 species
UGAGGUAAUGGCUCACCUAGGCGACGAUCCCUAAGCUGGUCUGAGAGGAUGACCAGCCACACUGGAACUAGAAAGACGGUCCCAGACUCCUACGGGAGGCAAGCAGUGGGGAAUAUAGCACAAUGGGCGCAAGCCUGAUGCAGCCCAUGCCCGCGUGUGUGAAGAAGGCCUUAGGGUACGUAAAGCACUUUCAAGCGAGGAAGAAAGGAUCACACAUUAAUACGUGUGGUGAUUGACGUUACACGCAGAAGAAGCAACCGGCUAACUCCGUGCCAACAACCGAGGGUAAAUACGGAGGGUGCAAGCGUUAAUCGGAAUUACUGGGCGUAAAGCGCACGCAGGCGGUUUGUUAAGUCAGAUGUGAAAUCCCCGCGCUUAACGUGGGAACUGCAUUUGAAACUGGCAAGCUAGAGUCUUGUAGAGGGGGGUAGAAUUCCAGGUGUAGCGGUGAAAUGCGUAGAGAUCUGGAGGAAUACCGGUGGCGAAGGCGGCCCCCUGGACAAAGACUGACGCUCAGGUGCGAAAGCGUGGGGAGCAAACAGGAUUAGAUACCCUGGUAGUCCACGCUGUAAACGAUGUCGACUUGGAGGUUGUGCCCUUGAGGCGUGGCUUCCGGAGCUAACGCGUUAAGUCGACCGCCUGGGGAGUACGGCCGCAAGGUUAAAACUCAAAUGAAUUGACGGGGGCCCGCACAAGCGGUGGAGCAUGUGGUUUAAUUCGGAUGCAACGCGAAGAACCUUACCUACU